GAUCCUGGCUCAGAUUGAACGCUGGCGGAAUGCUUUACACAUGCAAGUCGAACGGUAGAGGGGGCAACCCUCGAGAGUGGCGAACGGGUGAGUAAUAUAUCGGAACGUGCCCAGUCGUGGGGGAUAACGUAGCGAAAGUUACGCUAAUACCGCAUACGAUCUACGGAUGAAAGCGGGGGAUCGCAAGACCUCGCGCGAUUGGAGCGGCCGAUAUCAGAUUAGGUAGUUGGUGGGGUAAAGGCUCACCAAGCCAACGAUCUGUAGCUGGUCUGAGAGGACGACCAGCCACACUGGAACUGAGACACGGUCCAGACUCCUACGGGAGGCAGCAGUGGGGAAUUUUGGACAAUGGACGCAAGUCUGAUCCAGCCAUUCCGCGUGCAGGAAGAAGGCCUUCGGGUUGUAAACUGCUUUUGUACGGAACGAAAAGGCUCUGGUUAAUACCUGGGGCUCAUGACGGUACCGUAAGAAUAAGCACCGGCUAACUACGUG
rnacentral:rRNA from 1 species